UGGCUCAGAGGGUAAAGUGUCUGCCUGCAAUGCAGGAGACCUGGGUUCAAAUCCUUG
rfam:Ovis aries breed Texel chromosome 1, whole genome shotgun sequence.